rnacentral:rRNA from 1 species
UACAGGGGGUGCAAGCGUUGCUCGGAAUCACUGGGCGUAAAGCGAACGCAGGCGGACCAUCAAGUCAGGGGUGAAAGCCCGAGGCUCAACCUGGGAACUGCAUUUGUGACUGCAUGGCUAGAGUACGGUAGAGGGGGAUGGAAUUCCGCGUGUAGCAGUGAAAUGCGUAGAUAUGCGGAGGAACACCGAUGGCGAAGGCAAUCCCCUGGACCUGUACUGACGCUCAUGCACGAAAGCGUGGGGAGCAAACAGG